rnacentral:rRNA from 1 species
GACUGAGUGGCGGACGGGUGAGUAACGCGUGGGUAACCUGCCUUGUACAGGGGGAUAACAGUUGGAAACGGCUGCUAAUACCGCAUAAGCGCACGGCAUCGCAUGAUGCAGUGUGAAAAACUCCGGUGGUAUAAGAUGGACCCGCGUUGGAUUAGCUAGUUGGUGAGGUAACGGCCCACCAAGGCGACGAUCCAUAGCCGACCUGAGAGGGUGACCGGCCACAUUGGGACUGAGACACGGCCCAAACUCCUACGGGAGGCAGCAGUGGGGAAUAUUGCACAAUGGGCGAAAGCCUGAUGCAGCGACGCCGCGUGAGCGAAGAAGUAUUUCGGUAUGUAAAGCUCUAUCAGCAGGGAAGAUAAUGACGGUACCUGACUAAGAAGCACCGGCUAAAUACGUGCCAGCAGCCGCGGUAAUACGUAUGGUGCAAGCGUUAUCCGGAUUUACUGGGUGUAAAGGGAGCGCAGGCGGUGCGGCAAGUCUGAUGUGAAAGCCCGGGGCUCAACCCCGGUACUGCAUUGGAAACUGUCGUACUAGAGUGUCGGAGGGGUAAGCGGAAUUCCUAGUGUAGCGGUGAAAUGCGUAGAUAUUAGGAGGAACACCAGUGGCGAAGGCGGCUUACUGGACGAUAACUGACGCUGAGGCUCGAAAGCGU